UCCCUAGUAGCUCAGUCGGUAAAGCAUCUGACUGAAAUGCAGGAGACCCGGGUUCAAUCCCUGGGUCAGGAA
rnacentral:tRNA from 1 species